GAACGCUGGCGGCAAUGCCUAACACAUGCAAGUCGAACGAGACCUUGGGUCUAGUGGCGCACGGGUGCGUAACACGUGGGAAUUUGCCUCGGGGUAUGGAAUAACUCAGGGAAACUUGAGCUAAUACCAUAUAAUGUCUUCGGACCAAAGAUUUAUCGCCCUGAGAUAAGCCCGCGUAGGAUUAGCUAGUUGGUGAGGUAGAGGCUCACCAAGGCGACGAUCCUUAGCUGGUCUGAGAGGAUGAUCAGCCACACUGGGACUGAGACACGGCCCAGACUCCUACGGGAGGCAGCAGUGGGGAAUAUUGGACAAUGGGCGAAAGCCUGAUCCAGCAAUGCCGCGUGAGUGAUGAAGGCCUUCGGGUUGUAAAGCUCUUUUACUCGGGACGAUAAUGACGGUACCGAGAGAAUAAGCCCCGGCUAACUCCGUG
rnacentral:rRNA from 1 species